rnacentral:rRNA from 1 species
AUGAGCGUGGAAUUCAUGGUCAGGCUCACCAGGCUGUCGUCCGCGUCGCCCCGGCCGAAAUUUCCGCCGUCGCUUCCCCCAGCGCCGCCGCCAUCGCCUCCCCCGCCGUCGUCACGCGUGGUUACCAUGACCGCUGACUGCACGAGUUCGAGGCACAGCCUCAGCUUGUUGGGCUCGAUGUGGGUGAGCCCUGGCACGGCGCCCUUGAAGAGGAACUCCGAGGUGAGGCCCCGGAGCACGUCCAGCGGCGUGACGCCGUCGAGCGUCCUGGCGUUGGGGUCGGCGUGGUGGUCGAGGAGCACGGACACCAUAUCCGGGGACACCAUCUCAGCAGCCAGGUGCAGCGGGGUCUUCCCCGUCGGGCCGGCGCGGGAGUUGACGUCGGCGGCUCCGAGCUCCAGGAGUGCCUUGACGACGUCGCGGUUGCAGUGCUGCACGGCGUAG